GAUGAACGCUAGCUACAGGCUUAACACAUGCAAGUCGAGGGGAAACGGCAUCGUAAGCUUGCUUUUGAUGGGCGUCGACCGGCGCACGGGUGAGUAACGCGUAUCCAACCUGCCCAUCACUUGGGAAUAACCUUGCGAAAGUAAGACUAAUGCCCAAUGACAUCCCACGAAGGCAUCCGAAUGGGAUUAAAGAUUUAUCGGUGAUGGAUGGGGAUGCGUCUGAUUAGCUUGUUGGCGGGGUGACGGCCCACCAAGGCAACGAUCAGUAGGGGUUCUGAGAGGAAGGUCCCCCACAAUGGAACUGAGACACGGUCCAAACUCCUACGGGAGGCAGCAGUGAGGAAUAAUGGUCAAUGGGCGAGAGCCUGAACCAGCCAAGUAGCGUGCAGGAGGACGGCCCUAUGGAUUGUAAACUGCUUUUAUAAGGGAAUAAAGUGGGUCACGUGUGACUUUUUGCAUGUACCUUAUGAAUAAGGACCGGCUAAUUCCGUG
rnacentral:rRNA from 1 species